rnacentral:rRNA from 1 species
GGAAGGAGAAGUCGUAACAAGGUUGUCCAAUGACCCUCCCCGCGUUUUUUCGGGGUUCGAGUCGUCCGGAAGCCUUAGUGCGAGUGCGCCGCAGAUCGCCGGCGCACUCCGCGCUAGUACCCCCCUCCCUCGGGGGGUGCGACACGAGCAAAUUGCAGGGAGAGAAGCGGGCUGGCCGACUACCAAGCACGGCGUGCGCGGAGGACGCGGUUCACGAGUGCGGCCGGGCGCAGAGCCCGGUACGGUGAGAACGUCGGCCGAGUUCUUCCGACCUGCAUCCAACCCACCCCGGCCGGGGGUGGGCUGUUCACAGACUAGAUGCUGGUGGGCUGCGCAAGCUAAGACAUAGUCGGGCACGCA